UCGCUGCUUGCGCAGGCAGUCUCGCUAGAGUCCCCGGCAUAACCCGCUGGUAACUAACGAUAGGGGUUGCGUUCGUUGCGGGACUUAACCCAACAUCUCACGACACGAACUGACGACAGCCAUGCAGCACCUCGCUACCAGUCCGAAGAAGGGCCCCUUUCAGGGCCUGUCCGGUAGCGUUCGAGCCUGGGUAAGGUUCUUCGCGUUGCAUCGAAUUAAUCCACAUGCUCCACCGCUUGUGCGGGCCCCCGUCAAUUCCUUUGAGUUUCAACCUUGCGAUCGUACUCCCCAGGUGGAAUGCUUAACGCGUUAGCUUGGACACUGCGCCGCAAUUGGCGCAACGUCGAGCAUUCAUCGUUUACGGCGUGGACUAC
rnacentral:misc_RNA from 1 species